UCCCUGGUGGUCCAGUGAUUAGGACUCUGCACUUUCACUGCCAUGGGCCUGGGUUCAACCCCUAGUCAGGGAA